GACGAACGCUGGCGGCGUGCCUAAUACAUGCAAGUAGAACGCUGAAGGAGGAGCUUGCUUCUCUGGAUGAGUUGCGAACGGGUGAGUAACGCGUAGGUAACCUGCCUGGUAGCGGGGGAUAACUAUUGGAAACGAUAGCUAAUACCGCAUAAGAGUAGAUGUUGCAUGACAUUUGCUUAAAAUGUGCAAUUGCAUCACUACCAGAUGGACCUGCGUUGUAUUAGCUAGUUGGUGGGGUAACGGCUCACCAAGGCGACGAUACAUAGCCGACCUGAGAGGGUGAUCGGCCACACUGGGACUGGGACACGGCCCAGACUCCUUCGGGAGGCAGCAGUAGGGAAUCUUCGGCAAUGGACGGAAGUCUGACCGAGCAACGCCGCGUGGGUGAAGAAGGUUUUCGGAUCGUAAAGCUCUGUUGUAAGAGAAGAACGAGUGUGAGAGUGGAAAGUUCACGCUGUGACGGUAUCUUACCAGAAAGGGACGGCUAACUACGUG
rnacentral:rRNA from 1 species